rnacentral:rRNA from 1 species
GGUUCGAUCAUGGCUCAGAUUGAACGCUGGCGGGAUGCUUUACACAUGCAAGUCGAACGGCAGCACGGACUUCGGUCUGGUGGCGAGUGGCGAACGGGUGAGUAAUGUGUAUCGGAACGUGCCUAGUAGCGGGGGAUAACUACGCGAAAGCGUAGCUAAUACCGCAUACGCCCUUCGGGGAAAGCGGGGACCUUCGGGCCUCGCACUAUUAGAGCGGCCGCCGAUAUCGGAUUAGCUAGUUGGUGGGGUAAACGGCUCACCAAGGCGACGAUCCGUAGCUGGUUUGAGAGGACGACCAGCCACACUGGGACUGAGACACGGCCCAGACUCCUACGGGAGGCAGCAGUGGGGAAUUUUGGACAAUGGGGAAACCCUGAUCCAGCCAUCCCGCGUGUGCGAUGGAAGGCCUUCACAAAAGCACUUUUGGCAGGAAAGAAACGGCACGGGAUAAUACCCCGUGCAACUGACGGUACCUGCAGAAUAAGCACCGGCUAACUACGUGCCAGCAGCUGCGGUAAUACGUAGGGUGCAAGCGUUAAUCGGAAUUGUCGGGCGUAAAGCGUGCGCAGGCGUUCGGAAAGAAAGAAAUCCAGCCACCUUGCUAAUCGAGCCAGGAGUGUGUCAGAGGGAGGUGGAAUUCCGCGUAGCAGUGAAAUGCGUAGAUAUGUGCGGAGGAACACCGAUGGCGAAGGCAGCCUCUGGGAUAACACUGACGCUCAUGCACGAAAGUGGGGAGCAAACAGGAUUAGAUAACUGGUAGUCCACGCCCUAAACGAUGUCAACUAGCUGUUGGGGCCUUCGGGCCUUGGUAGCGCAGCUAACGCGUGAAGUUGACCGCCUGGGAGUACGGUCGCAAGAUUAAAACUCAAAGGAAUUGGACGGGAUUCACACAAGCGGUGGAUGAUGUGGAUUAAUUCGAUGCAACGCGAAAAACCUUACCUACCCUUGACAUGUCUGGAAUCCCGAAGAGAUUUGGGGAGUGCUCGCAAGAGAACCGGAACACAGGUGCUGCAUGGCUGUCGUCAGCUCGUGUCGUGAGAUGUUGGGUUAAGUCCCGCAACGAGCGCAACCUUGUCAUUAGCGUUACGAAAGGGCACUCUAAUGAGACUGCCGGUGACAAACCGGAGAAGGUGAUGACGUCGCUCCUCAUGGCCCUUAUGGGUAGGGUCGCACAUCGUCAUACAAUGGUCGGGACAGAGGGUCGCCAACCCGCGAGGGAGCCAACCCCAGAAACCCGAUCGUAGUCCGGAUCGCAGUCUGCAACCCGACUGCGUGAAGUCGGAAUCGCUAGUAAUCGCGGAUCAGCAUGUCGCGGUGAAUACGUUCCCGGGUCUGCGCCACACCGCCCGUCACACCAUGGGAGUGGGUUUUACCAGAAGUAGUUAGCCUUAACCGUAAGGAGGGCGAUUACCACGGUAGGAUUCAUGACUGGGGUGAAGUCGUAACAAGGUAG